rnacentral:lncRNA from 1 species
UGUGUGCUUGGCAUUUCUGAGGGCACAUGAGACAGCAGGUGGAAAUGCCUUGGCAUGGCAGAAUCUGGAGGAUCUCUUCUCUCCUCGAAGUCCGGAGGUGCUGGAUGAAGGCCAGGAAGCUCUGGACGGCCUCGGCCUUGGACAGGUUUUCAGGCUCCAGGUUCUUUCUGAUGGACUCCCAGUGCUCCGCCAGCUGCAAAGUACAGCCCCAGGUGCAAGCCCCUUAGUUCUGAGCUCCAGAGCCACUAAUACGUAGGACUGCUUCCUCUCGGGGUCGGGGUGGGCGGCACGCUAGAGCUGCUCGACCUUGGACCAUUAGCCAUCUGAGGUUUGGAUGUGUGGGUCCAGCAAUGACUGUGUUGUGACAAGCACACCCGAGGCCAGGCUUUGAGCACACUAGGGGAAGUGUACGGAAGUUUCAUUAACAGCUGGGGACUUGGUGUUUGGGAAAGGCAAAGUGAGACCUGCCAGAGUCGUACUGCUUUCUAACUUGCUCGGACCUCAUUGCAAAUCAAAGUUUCAAACCGUCUGAGCUCCCUACUCUUCUCGCAUUGCUUGUGUGGAAUCCAAUGCCGCGCUGUUGCUAGGAUCUCAACUGUUCAGAGUUUGUAUCUAUG